AAUUUGUAUUAAAAAUAAAAUGAGACGUAAAUUAUUUUGCAUUUGAGUCAACUUAGAACUUAAAACCCUGUAAAAAUUGGGUCUUUAUUAGUGUAAACAACUUCAAGGGCAAUUAUGUUAUUUUAAUCAAAAAAGGUGUUUAUCAACUAUUUAUUAUCAGUUUCAGCACUUUUAUCCAAACAUGUAACUGCUUAUUUUUAAAUCAGCUAAGUCAAACAGGCUCUAACUGAUAACCCACUAUUUGCUCCCUCUAUCCUGCGUAACAAACAAAAAUUGUGCAAAAUUAGGGCACACCGAGCUCACAUCCACAGAGAUUAGGCCAUCGAAGAUGAAGAAAGCUUCUUUGCGUUACUCUUGCAAUGACUGGUAUGAGCUGUCCGCUGGAGAUGUUGUUCGUGCUGUUGCAAGUGAGCAUAGGAACGUGCUGAACCGUGUAAAUGCUUACAUAUGAGGAUAUUACUAGAUGAUGAUGGCAAUAAAUGAAUCAAGGGCUUAAUCUAUUUGCAUGCUUGGUUCUUCUAGUAUUUGUUUAGGCUCUUGAUGUGGUCUACUGCACUACUUUUCUGUUUACCUGUGUUCAUAACAGGCUGUUUUUAAGACAGCAAUUCCUUGAAACUAAACAAAUGGUGUUUCGUCUGUUUUUUUAGUGAUUAAUAUUGACUUGUUAUCAAGA